rnacentral:rRNA from 1 species
CAAUAGCGUAUAUUAAAGUUGUUGCAGUUAAAAAGCUCGUAGUUGGAUCUCUGGCAGGAGCGACCGGUCACACACUCUGUGUGUGAACUUGCGUUGUCUCUGGCCAUCCUUGGGAAGAUCCUGUUUGGCAUUAAGUUGUCGGGCAGGGGAUACCCAUCGUUUACUGUGAAAAAAUUAGAGUGUUUAAAGCAGGCUUAUGCCGUUGAAUAUAUUAGCAUGGAAUAAUAAGAUAGGACUUCGGAACUAUUUUGUUGGUUUGCGUUACGAAGUAAUGAUUAAUAGGGACAGUUGGGGGUAUUCGUAUUUCGUUGUCAGAGGUGAAAUUCUUGGAUUUCCGAAAGACGAACUACUGCGAAAGCAUUUACCAAGGAUGUUUUCAUUAA